rfam:Butyrivibrio proteoclasticus strain P18 genome assembly, contig: Ga0066879_144
AGAUUCGUGGUGUAAUUGGCAGCACAGCAGUCUCCAAAACUGUUAGUCCGGGUUCAAGUCCUGGCGGAUCUG